CCACAGGUUUUAAUAGAAACCACAAAAUUACUGCGGAAGGCGGUGU
rfam:Flavobacteriaceae bacterium HSG9 contig4, whole genome shotgun sequence.